rnacentral:misc_RNA from 1 species
GAUGAAGAACGUAGCGAAAUGCGAUACGUAAUGUGAAUUGCAGACGUCAGUGAAUCAUCGAAUCUUUGAACGCACAUUGCGCCCGCCAGUAUUCUGGCGGGCAUGCCUGUCCGAGCGUCAUUUCAACCCUCGAACCCCUCCGGGGGGUCGGCGUUGGGGAUCGGGAACCCCUAAGACGGGAUCCCGGCCCCGAAAUACAGUGGCGGUCUCGCCGCAGCCUCUCCUGCGCAGUAGUUUGCACAACUCGCACCGGGAGCGCGGCGCGUCCACGUCCGUAAAACACCCAACUUCUGAAAUGUUGACCUCGGAUCAGGUAGGAAUACCCGCUGAACUUAAGCAUAUCAAUAAGCGGAGGA